rnacentral:rRNA from 1 species
CCUACGGGCGGCAGCAGUCGAGAAUCAUUCACAAUGGGGGAAACCCUGAUGGUGCGACGCCGCGUGGGGGAAUGAAGGUCUUCGGAUUGUAAACCCCUGUCAUGUGGGAGCAAAUCAAAAAGAUAGUACCACAAGAGGAAGAGACGGCUAACUCUGUGCCAGCAGCCGCGGUAAUACAGCGGUCUCAAGCGUUGUUCGGAACCACUGGGCGUAAGGCGUGCGUAGGCGGUUUCGUAAGUCGUGGGUGAAAGGCGCGGGCUCAACCCGCGGACGGAACAUGAUACUGCGGGACUAGAGUAAUGGGGGAGGAACCGGAAUUCUCGGUGUAGCAGUGAAAUGCGUAGAUAUCGAGAGGAACACUCGUGGCGAAGGCGGGUUCCUGGACAUUAACUGACGCUGAGGCACGAAGGCCAGGGGAGCGAAAGGGAUUAGAUACCCGGGUAGUC